CCCACGGGUGGCUGCAGUGGGGAAUAUUGGACAAUGGGGGCAACCCUGAUCCAGCCAUGCCGCGUGUGUGAAGAAGGCCCUCGGGUUGUAAAGCACUUUCAGUGAGGAAGAACGCCUGGUGGUUAAUACCCAUCAGGAAAGACAUCACUCACAGAAGAAGCACCGGCUAACUCCGUGCCAGCAGCCGCGGUAAUACGGAGGGUGCGAGCGUUAAUCGGAAUUACUGGGCGUAAAGCGCGCGUAGGUGGCUUGAUAAGCCGGUUGUGAAAGCCCCGGGCUCAACCUGGGAACGGCAUCCGGAACUGUCAAGCUAGAGUGCAGGAGAGGAAGGUAGAAUUCCCGGUGUAGCGGUGAAAUGCGUAGAGAUCGGGAGGAAUACCAGUGGCGAAGGCGGCCUUCUGGACUGACACUGACACUGAGGUGCGAAAGCGUGGGUAGCAAACAGGAUUAGAUACCCCUGUAGUC
rnacentral:rRNA from 1 species